rnacentral:rRNA from 1 species
GACGAACGCUGGCGGCGUGCUUAACACAUGCAAGUCGAACGGAAAGGCCCUGCUUGCAGGGUACUCGAGUGGCGAACGGGUGAGUAACACGUGGGUGAUCUGCCCUGCACUUCGGGAUAAGCCUGGGAAACUGGGUCUAAUACCGGAUCGGAGCCAUUUUUAGCGUGAUGGUUGGAAAGUUUUUUCGGUGUAGGAUGAGCCCGCGGCCUAUCAGCUUGUUGGUGGGGUAAUGGCCUACCAAGGCGGCGACGGGUAGCCGGCCUGGGAGGGUGGACGGCCACAUUGGGUCUGAGAUACGGCCCAGACACCUACGGGAGGCAGCAGUGGGGAAGAGUGCACAAUGGGCGCAAGCCUGAUGCAGCGACGCCGCGUGGGGGAUGACGGCCUUCGGGUUGUAAACUCCUUUCGCUAGGGACGAAGCUUUUUGUGACGGUACCUAGAUAAGAAGCACCGGCUAACUACGUG